UUUUCAAUGACCGAAAACUCCUGCUUUGACAUUUCAUGCUCUUGCAUUUUUAUAUACAUGGGAGCCAUUUCCUGAUGAAUAUACAUGGAUUGUUGUUAGCCCAAGUGUCAGAACACGCGAUUGUUUGUUUUUUUUUUUCGGCUGGCUCAAGAAUGUUUGUUGUUUCAUUCUGAACACUAAGUUCCUCCGAAGUAGUUUUUUCCUCAACGUGCCUGGAAAUGCAACCAACCGGAUUGACCGGCAGUAAAGACCCGCAGGGCGUGCGAUUGCGAAAGAUGCCUUCCGGAAGCCUCUUCGCCGCUGCAAAUAGGGACGGUGUACCUGUCGGAACCAGAUUGGUACCUGUCUGACCCGCUGGAACUAGCGAAAAAAAAAACAAAACUCCCAUGGUUCAGAGGCUUUGUAGUCCGGAGCAUUUACAGCUUUUGGUUCAGCCCCUACGUCAUAUGAUGAACAAACGAUGCAACCAGCAAACGGAAAGAAAACGCGACACAGCUGAAGUUACCUACAAAAGGAACGAAGGCCCAACUAGAAAACAAAACAGACCAAUGUUUGAAAACAAAAUGACCAAUGUAUAAACACUCGUUCUUUUCUGUUGUAGUUUAAAAAUAGACAGUUUAAAUGAUCUGAACCGAAGCUUUGUCGAAAUUGCUGUGACUGUCUUGCCUCUGGAUGCUACAGAGUUUCGCGAUGUGUCACCUUAAUGGGCCUUGCGUGAUGUUUCGGUUGCUAAUAUCACCUGGCUCUCUGCAGUUGCCGUUUUCACCUAUACUUUCAAAACAGAAAUGCAAAGAAUAGUUACAAAAAAGGAAGAACGCUAUUAAAGGAUUGUUUCCUCAAACAAGUAUCGUAUGGACGGGUAAUGAUUUUAAUGAAGCUCUGCUAAGGUUAUUUGUAAUUAGCUGAAUUGAUAUUUACAUUAAAUGUUAUUUAAUAGUAAUAAUCUAUGAUUUUGGUGUUGUUAAGUUAGUAAAUUGGUCGACAGACACACUCUCGUCUUUGUAUAUAGACCACUAUUUUAAUGAUUAAUUCGAACAUGUGAUAGGUAGCCAAUCGAUCACACAGAGCGCUCACUUUUUUGUCCGGGUUUGAUAACUACAAACUACUGCCACUUGGAUAUUAGCA